UACAGAGGUCUCAAGCGUUGUUCGGAUUCAUUGGGCGUAAAGGGUGUGUAGGUGGCGCGCUAAGUCGGGUGUGAAAUUUCGGAGCUUAACUCCGAAACUGCAUUCGAUACUGCCGUGCUUUGAGGACUGGAGAGGGAGACUGGAAAUUUACGGUGUAGCGGUGAAAUGCGUAGAUAUCGUAAGGAAGACCAGUGGCGAAGGCGGGUCUCUGGACAGUUCCUGACGCUGAGGCACGAAGGCCCAGGGGGAGCAAAAC
rnacentral:rRNA from 1 species